GGAGAGUUGUCCGAGUUGGUCGAAGGAGCACGAUUGGAAAUCGUGUAUACGCUAACCGCGUAUCAAGGGUUCGAAUCCCUUACUCUCCGCCA
rnacentral:tRNA from 1 species